rnacentral:rRNA from 1 species
AUUGAACGCUGGCGGCAGGCUUAACACAUGCAAGUCGAGCGGGGUGAUGGUGCUUGCACUAUCACUUAGCGGCGGACGGGUGAGUAAUGCUUAGGAAUCUGCCUAUUAGUGGGGGACAACAUCUCGAAAGGGAUGCUAAUACCGCAUACGUCCUGCGGGAGAAAGCAGGGGAUCACUUGUGACCUUGCGCUAAUAGAUGAGCCUAAGUCGGAUUAGCUAGUUGGGGGGGUAAAGGCCUACCAACGGGACGAUCUGUAGCGGGUCUGAGGGGAUGGUCCGCCACACAGGGACUGAAGACCGGCCCAGACUCCUUCGGGAGGCAGCAGUUGGGAAUAUUGGACAAUGGGGGGAACCCUGAUCCAGCCAUGCCGCGUGUGUGAAGAAGGCCUUAUGGAUGUAAAGCGCUUUUAGCGAGGAGGGGGCACUUGUGGUUAAUACCCAAGAUGAGUGGACGUUCCUCGCAGAAUAAGCACCGGCUAACUCUGUGCCAGCCGCCGCCGUAA